rnacentral:rRNA from 1 species
UACGUAGGGGGCGAGCGUUGUCCGAAUUUACUGGGCGUAAAGAGCUCGUAGGUGGUUCGGUAAGUCCGCUGUGAAAGUCGGGGGCUCAACCCUCGAAUGCCGGUGGAUACUGUCGGGCUAGAGUGCGGAAGAGGCGAGUGGAAUUCCUGGUGUAGCGGUGAAAUGCGCAGAUAUCAGGAGGAACACCAAUUGCGAAGGCAGCUCGCUGGGACGUAACUGACGCUGAGACGCGAAAGCGUGGGGAGCAAACAGG